rnacentral:rRNA from 1 species
UACGUAGGGGCCGAGCGUUGUCCGGAGUUAUUGGGCGUAAAGCGCGCGCAGGCGGCCUCGCGCGCCCGACGUGAAAGCCCCCGGCUCAACUGGGGAGGGUCAUUCGAUACUGAUCGACUCGAAGGCAGGAGAGAGAAGUGGAAUUCCCGGUGUAGUGGUGAAAUGCGCAGAUAUCAGGAAGAACACCAAUGGCGAAGGCAGUUCUCUGGGACGGUACUGACGCUGAGACGCGAAAGCGUGGGGAGCGAACAGG